CCUACGGGGGGCAGCAGUCGAGAAUCAUUCACAAUGGGGGAAACCCUGAUGGUGCGACGCCGCGUGGGGGAAUGAAGGUCUUCGGAUUGUAAACCCCUGUCAUGUGGGAGCAAAUUAAAAAGAUAGUACCACAAGAGGAAGAGACGGCUAACUCUGUGCCAGCAGCCGCGGUAAUACAGAGGUCUCAAGCGUUGUUCGGAAUCACUGGGCGUAAGGCGUGCGUAGGCUGUUUCGUAAGUCGUGUGUGAAAGGCGCGGGCUCAACCCGCGGACGGCGCAUGAUACUGCGAGACUAGAGUAAUGGAGGGGGAACCGGAAUUCUCGGUGUAGCAGUGAAAUGCGUAGAUAUCGAGAGGAACACUCGUGGCGAAGGCGGGUUCCUGGACAUUAACUGACGCUGAGGCACGAAGGCCAGGGGAGCGAAAGGGAUUAGAUACCCGAGUAGUC
rnacentral:rRNA from 1 species